AUAGUAUACGGAAAGCCCGUCAAAGUGGCUCGUGUUAUGUUGAAUCUUAAAGUAAUCAUAUCACAGCCAGCUUUGAUGUGCUUCCUGAAGUACUAU
rnacentral:miRNA from 1 species